rnacentral:rRNA from 1 species
UACGGGGGGAGCAAGCGUUGUUCGGAUUUACUGGGCGGAAAGGGCGCGUAGGCGGCCAGCACAAGUCAGUUGUGAAAUCUCCGAGCUUAACUCGGAAAGGUCAACUGAUACUGUGCGGCUAGAGUGCGGAAGGGGCAACUGGAAUUCUUGGUGUAGCGGUGAAAUGCGUAGAUAUCAAGAGGAACACCUGCGGCGAAGGCGGGUUGCUGAGCCGACACUGACGCUGAGGCGCGAAAGCCAGGGGAGCGAACGGG